AUUGAACGCUGGCGGCAGGCCUAACACAUGCAAGUCGAACGGUAGCACAGAGAGCUUGCUCUCGGGUGACGAGUGGCGGACGGGUGAGUAACGUCUGGGAAACUGCCCGAUGGAGGGGGAUAACUACUGGAAACGGUAGCUAAUACCGCAUAACGUCGCAAGACCAAAGUGGGGGACCUUCGGGCCCCACACCAUCGGAUGUGCCCAGAUGGGAUUAGCUAGUAGGUGGGGUAAUGGCUCACCUAGGCGACGAGCCCUAGCUGGUCUGAGGGGAUGACCAGCCACACGGGAACUGAGACACGGUCCAGACUCCUACGGGAGGCAGCAGUGGGGAAUAUUGCACAAUGGGCGCAAGCCGGAUGCAGCCAUGCCGCGUGUAUGAAGAAGGCCUUCGGGUUGUAAAGUACUUUCAGCGGGGAGGAAGGCGGUGAAGUUAAUAGCUUCACCGAUUGACGUUACCCGCAGAAGAAGCACCGGCUAACUCCGUGCCAGCCGCCGCAGUAA
rnacentral:rRNA from 1 species